rnacentral:rRNA from 1 species
CCUACGGGGGGCAGCAGUGGGGAAUAUUGCACAAUGGUGGAAACCCUGAUGCAGCGACGCCGCGUGAGUGAAGAAGUAUUUCGUUAUGUAAAGCUCUAUCAGCAGGGACGAAAAAAGACGGUACCUGACUAAGAAGCCCCAGCUAACUACGUGCCAGCUGCCCCGGUAAUACGUAGGGGGCAAGCGUUAUCCGGAUUUACUGGGUGUAAGGGUAGCGUAGACGGCGCGGCCAGUCUGAAUGUAAAGGCAGUGGCUUAACCCCUGAACGGCUUUGGAAACGGCCAUGCUAGGGUGCUGGAGAGGUAAGUGGAAUUCCUAGUGUAGCGGUGAAAUGCGUAGAUAUUAGGAGGAACACCAGUGGCGAAGGCGGCUUACUGGAAAGUAACUGACGUGGAGGCUCGAAAGCGUGGGGAGCAAACAGGAUUAGAUACCCGUGUAGUC